rnacentral:rRNA from 1 species
UACGAAGGGGGCUAGCGUUGUUCGGAAUUACUGGGCGUAAAGCGCACGUAGGCGGCUUUGUAAGUUAGAGGUGAAAGCCCGGGGCUCAACUCCGGAAUUGCCUUUAAGACUGCAUCGCUAGAAUUGUGGAGAGGUAAGUGGAAUUCCGAGUGUAGAGGUGAAAUUCGUAGAUAUUCGGAAGAACACCAGUGGCGAAGGCGACUUACUGGACACAUAUUGACGCUGAGGUGCGAAAGCUAGGGGAGCAAACAGG